GCAGCCUGAUCCAGCCAUGCCGCGUGCAGGAUGACGGUCCUAUGGAUUGUAAACUGCUUUUAUACGAGAAGAAACACUGCUUCGUGAAGCAGCUUGACGGUAUCGUAAGAAUAAGGAUCGGCUAACUCCGUGCCAGCAGCCGCGGUAAUACGGAGGAUCCAAGCGUUAUCCGGAAUCAUUGGGUUUAAAGGGUCCGUAGGCGGUUUGGUAAGUCAGUGGUGAAAGCCCAUCGCUCAACGGUGGAACGGCCAUUGAUACUGCCAGACUUGAAUUAUUAGGAAGUAACUAGAAUAUGUAGUGUAGCGGUGAAAUGCUUAGAGAUUACAUGGAAUACCAAUUGCGAAGGCAGGUUACUACUAAUGGAUUGACGCUGAUGGACGAAAGCGUGGGUAGCGAACAGGAUUAGAUACCCUGGUAGUCCACGCCGUAAACGAUGGAUACUAGCUGUUGGAAGCAAUUUCAGUGGCUAAGCGAAAGUGAUAAGUAUCCCACCUGGGGAGUACGUUCGCAAGAAUGAAACUCAAAGGAAUUGACGGGGGCCCGCACAAGCGGUGGAGCAUGUGGUUUAAUUCGAUGAUACGCGAGGAACCUUACCAAGGCUUAAAUGUAGAUUGACCGGUUUGGAAACAGAUCU
rnacentral:rRNA from 1 species